GACGAACCGUGCGAACGUUGUUCGGAAUCACUGGGCUUAAAGGGCGCGUAGGCGGCAUAUCAAGUCCGGGGUGAAAGCCCCCAGCUUAACUGGGGAAGUGCCUUGGAUACUGGUGUGCUCGAGGGAGGUAGGGGUCGAGGGAACUUCUGGUGGAGCGGUGAAAUGCGUUGAUAUCAGGAAGAACACCCGUGGCUAAGGCGGCUCUCUAGUACGGUACUGACGCUGAGACGCGAAAGCGUGGGGAGCGAACAGG
rnacentral:rRNA from 1 species